UACUGCGUAGUCGGAUUGCCG
rnacentral:miRNA from 1 species